CGGUGGAAGAUAACCCAAAAGGGAUUCCUUCAGUAAUGGCGAAUGAACGGGGAAAAGCUCAGCAAAGAAAUCGAGGACUCCGGCCUUGAGUUGUGGACUUGAGAGGUAUCGCCAAUGGUGGCACAGGUGGGGGCCUUUUGGAAAAGGGCACCACAGAGGGUGUGAGUCCUGUUUGCCAUUUGUAGUCCGCCGUGUACGGCAUGCCUCCUCAGAGUCACGUUCCUUGGAAUUGGAGCGUGAAGGUGGUGGUGGCUUUCAUCUCAAGCUAAGUAUGGGUUCGAGACCGAUAGCAAACAAGUACCAUGAGGGAAAAUUGAAAAGAGCUUUGGAAAGAGAGUUAAAAGUGCCCGAACUUGCUGAUAGGGAAGCGAAGGGAGCAGACGUUGCUUGGUAACAUCUUCUGCGCAAGACUAGGAUGGGUUCUGAUUGCAAUGUGUGUAGUGUUUCUUGCCGUGCGUGUCGAUUCCAAGCAAUGAGUGGAGAGAGCUCCAGGGAUAUGAUUGUUUCUGUCCCCGGGUAGACGAAGGUGCCUGGUUGCAUCCAUUCGUGGGCUGAAAAAUUGGUGGCUGGUUGCAGCAUUCCCUUGCCUACUAAUGCAAUUGGAAUGUAGCCCUGACAUGCAGACGAGGACAAAGUGCUUCUGUUCGACCCGUCUUGAAA
rnacentral:rRNA from 1 species